AAGAAUUUAAGUUAAAUUAAACUAGUAACCUUCAAAGCUACAAAUAAAGUUAAACUUUAAAUCUUG
rnacentral:tRNA from 1 species